UCCAUUGCCGUCCAUUCACCCGCUGCUCCCUGCUUCCCCUCGGACCACAGGGGUCUCCCAGCAAGCCGUCUUCCUCGCUCCCGGGGGCGGAAUAUGGGGCCGUAAUGGAGUUUUACUUGGAAAUCGACCCUGUGACUUUGAACUUAAUUAUCCUGGUAGCUAGUUAUGUCAUCCUUCUGCUGGUCUUCCUGGUGUCUUGUGUGCUUUAUGACUGUCGGGGCAGGGACCCCAGUAAGGAGUAUGCCCCAGAGACCAUGCCGGAGAACCGCUCUCCCAUCCGCUUGGUGGUAAUGCAGCAAAGUGCUACGUGGAGCAAGGCCUAUCAGAACAAACCCGAUGUUCUAGAGAAGAAAAUUACGGUUGUCUAAGGAGAUUAUCGGGCACCCUAUAUGACGCAAGCAAGUUGGAUCUUCACAAUGCUAGCUUUCAGGACCAACAAACAUAUCCCUCUAGUGCUGGACGCCUGUCAUCACAUCUGUGAGCCCGACCAGAAGGAUUGUGGGAUUACUAGUUCUUCAGACCGGUGUUUCCUUUGCGUGAUAUGAAAUCUGGACUACACAUCUCAGGGAUCCUUGCUAAACCCGAAGAGACUCCUGGAAGGAGCCAUAAAAUGGUCCAGAGAUCCACGCCAUGCUCUCUUCCUCCUGGGCCUUUCUGUGCGCACAUCUCCCUGUGCGGGAGGGGGAGAGGCUGCAGCCUACCACGCGGUGAACGAGUGAUACCAGCCCGGCUCCAGAGGGCCUAAGCCUGCCUGCUAUUCAUCAGACAUCCACGCGGCACCUACCCAGCAGAUCUACACUACAGUCGCCUGCAUCCAUCAGCUGUGGGUCAUCGCCUGUCAUUUGCUGAAGGACGUCUCUUCUAGGAUCGCUGUCUGCAAGGUGUAAGCCGGUCUGGUCGUUGGUGAGAGGGUAAUUGACCCUUCUUUGCAACCCUUCUUUGCUACUAUACCUGAACACUGUGUAUAGACACCUUUACCUUGGGAACACUUUAUUGCAUUACUGUUUGGAACACUGUACGUAGACAUCUUAACUUAGAACCACUUCAAGGAGUAUCACUAGCUUGUUUAAGCCCCUCGGCUAUUACCGCACCACUGUGCCUUAUCGGAUACAAUCUAAUGAGCUCCAACUGCCGGUGAAGACUAUCAGGCCUGCAUCUUGGACACUGCUGUUAUUACCAUACAGAGGGCCUGAUUCCAUCCCCAAUUUCGUCUGAUCUCUCAUUAGGAUAUAAAGGUUGAAUAGACUGGCCUGGGCAUCCCGUUUAGUGUGAUACUGCCUGUCCUAGAUAACUAACGUUUUACUGCCUUUACAGGUUACGCUUCAAGUGGUAAUUUAUUGUACAUAUAUGUGAAUUGUGUUUUGUGCUGUUGUACUGUUUUAAGCUGCCUUUAGGGGAGUCUGGGCUGUUAUCCAGCACUCAGCUGACCAAUUCCCCUUUUCUGUGUAUCAAUACCACAUCCCUUACUUCAGUAAAAGUGUAUAUACUAUAAACAUA